UGGGGAAUUUUGGACAAUGGGGGCAACCCUGAUCCAGCAAUGCCGCGUGAGUGAAGAAGGCCUUCGGGUUGUAAAGCUCUUUUGUCAGGGAAGAAAAGGUCGUGGCUAAUAUCCACGACUGCUGACGGUACCUGAAGAAUAAGCACCGGCUAACUACGUGCCAGCAGCCGCGGUAAUACGUAGGGUGCAAGCGUUAAUCGGAAUUACUGGGCGUAAAGCGUGCGCAGGCGGUUUCGUAAGUCUGUCGUGAAAUCCCCGGGCUUAACCUGGGAAUGGCGAUGGAGACUGCGAGGCUAGAGUUUGGCAGAGGGGGGUAGAAUUCCACGUGUAGCAGUGAAAUGCGUAGAGAUGUGGAGGAACACCGAUGGCGAAGGCAGCCCCCUGGGUCAAAACUGACGCUCAUGCACGAAAGCGUGGGGAGCAAACA
rnacentral:rRNA from 1 species